UGGCGAACGGGUGAGUAACACGUGGGUAAUCUGCCCUGCACUCUGGGAUAAGCCUGGGAAACUGGGUCUAAUACUGGAUAUGACCUUUCUCCUUAUGGGGUUUGGUGGAAAGUUUUUCGGUGUAGGAUGAGCCCGCGGCCUAUCAGCUUGUUGGUGGGGUGAUGGCCUGCCAAGGCGACGACGGGUAGCCGGCCUGAGAGGGUGAUCGGCCACAUUGGGACUGAGAUACGGCCCAG
rnacentral:rRNA from 1 species